AGAGUUUGAUCAUGGCUCAGAUUGAACGCUGGCGGCAGGCCUAACACAUGCAAGUCGAACGGUAACAGGAAGAAGCUUGCUUCUUUGCUGACGAGUGGCGGACGGGUGAGUAAUGUCUGGGAAACUGCCUGAUGGAGGGGGAUAACUACUGGAAACGGUAGCUAAUACCGCAUAACGUCGCAAGACCAAAAAGGGGGACCUUCGGGCCUCUUGCCAUCGGAUGUGCCCAGAUGGGAUUAGCUAGUAGGUGGGGUAACGGCUCACCUAGGCGACGAUCCCUAGCUGGUCUGAGAGGAUGACCAGCCACACUGGAACUGAGACACGGUCCAGACUCCUACGGGAGGCAGCAGUGGGGAAUAUUGCACAAUGGGCGCAAGCCUGAUGCAGCCAUGCCGCGUGUAUGAAGAAGGCCUUCGGGUUGUAAAGUACUUUCAGCGGGGAGGAAGGGAGUAAAGUUAAUACCUUUGCUCAUUGACGUUACCCGCAGAAGAAGCACCGGCUAACUCCGUG
rnacentral:rRNA from 1 species